UAUAGGUGCAAGCUAAUGACUUCACUCAAUAUCAGCUAUGAUUAAACGAUUGCUUCGAUUUCUUCUCUUUGUCUGUGUUUGUGCUGUUGUGGCUUCCUUGGAUUGUCUAUCAUGUACAAGUAAAGAAGUAUGCAGAGAUGCUCCGACUACCAACUGUACUUCCGAGAAAAAUUAUUGUAUAUCAUUAGUGGUGGUAGGUACUUAUUUCAGAGGAUGCUACGAUAAUACUGAGGACUGUGAAAUGUAUAAGCAAGAGGAAGGGACCAUUUGUACCACAUGCGAUACUGAUAAUUGUAAUACGGAAAGUUUUGAUUGAUACAUCAUGUAAAUAAUAAAAAUAAUGAUCAAAAU